UUCAGCGGCGGGCCUUGGCGGGGGUACCUUCGGGUACGCCGGUUGCUGUUGGUACCGGUUCGCUAACCCCGCCUUGUGCCCGCCACCCUC
rnacentral:antisense_RNA from 1 species